GUGAAUCAUCGAAUUUUUGAACGCAAAUUGCGCUUCCUGGCAUCCCGGGAAGUAUGCCUGUUUGAGGGUCAGUAUUAACAAAAAAUCGGGUUGGGUGCAAAUUGUGACGUUUCCGGAGGUGGGGAGAUCUGAACUUAUUUGGUUAAGGGGCGGAAAAUUGACCUUUGUGGCGCAUUUUUAGAGGUACAUAAAUUUUUUUUGUAGUCGGUCAAUU
rnacentral:misc_RNA from 1 species